CUGUCAUUUCCGCCACACUGCACCCAUCGACUACAACCCUUGGACGUAGGGUUUAUGAAACCUUUUUCAACCUAUUAUACAGAAGCUGCAAAUAGUUGGCUAAGAUUGAAUUCAGGAAAAAUAAUAACCCAAAUUCAACAAGACAGAAUCUAUUCUCUGAAAAGAAGGGGAAAAAACCAGCAAAGGUACAAAAAGGAAAAGGUGAAGGAAAAGGGAAAUAUAAAAGGAAGAAAAAUAAA
rnacentral:misc_RNA from 1 species